rnacentral:rRNA from 1 species
UACAGAGGUCUCAAGCGUUGUUCGGAUUCAUUGGGCGUAAAGGGUGCGUAGGCGGCAGCGCAAGUCAGGUGUGAAAUCCCGGGGCUCAACCCCGGAACUGCACUUGAUACUGCGUUGCUUGAGUACUGGAGAGGAGACUGGAAUUUACGGUGUAGCGGUGAAAUGCGUAGAUAUCGUAAGGAAGACCAGUGGCGAAGGCGGGUCUCUGGACAGUUCCUGACGCUGAGGCACGAAGGUCAGGGGAGCAAACGGG